GGGCGUGGCCUCGCUGGCGGCUCGCCGGCACGUGCCCCUCGCCCCGGCCCGGGUCGGGUUUCGGCGCUGAAACCGGAGCCCCCCGUCCGCCCCCCCCGGAGCCCCCCGGGGCGCCCCGCUCCCCCCCAGCAGCGCCCCGGGGGGUCGCUGCGCUCCACCCGAUCUCCCGGCCGACGCGGCUGGUACCGAGGACAGCGGUGGCCUCGUCCCUGCGAGGGACGAGCGUAGGUUCGGGACGAUCUGGUUUCCUCCCCGCUUGGCCCCGGUCGUGGGGAGAAGGAGCAGGAGCGGGCGGAAUGUUCUUCCUCUUCCGCGGGCCGCAGCGGCGAGGCGCCGGCAGCCCCGCGCCCCCCGCCUGCCGGGGCACCCCCCGGCACCACGGCGCCGGCCGGAGGGGUGCCCGCGGCUCCCGCCCGGCCCCUCGGCUCAGGGGUCCCUGCGCCCCCGGCCCUGCGGGCAGCCGGGGGAGAUUGAACCGUAGCGCUGCGUCCCCCGUGGAGCGUCAGCGGGCUGCGGAGGAGCCGGGCCCCCGGCCGCCCCUCGCUUUUGGGCAGGAUGGGAAGCCACGCUCGGGUGCUCCGGGCUCCGGCGCAGGGGACCCUGAGGACGUGCUGGACGUGGCACAGACCUCUCCGAUGCAGGGAUACUCGGUGCUGCAGGGGCUGGUGGGGCCGGCCUGCAUCUUCCUGCGGCAGAGCAUCGCCAUCACCCAACGGGACCGGGAGCUGCGGCCUGAGGAGAUUGAAGAGCUGAAGCAGGCAUUCCGGGAGUUCGACAAGGACCACGACGGCUACAUCAGCUACAAGGACCUGGGCGAGUGCAUGCGGACCAUGGGCUACAUGCCCACGGAGAUGGAGCUCAUCGAGCUGUCCCAGCAGAUCACCGGGGGCAAGGUGGAUUUUGAUGAUUUCGUGGAGCUGAUGGGCCCCAAGAUGCUGGCAGAGACAGCGGAUAUGAUUGGGAUCAAGGAGCUGCGUGACGCCUUCCGUGAGUUUGACACCAACGGGGACGGACAGAUCAGUGUGCCGGAGCUGCGGGAGGCCAUGCGCAAGCUCCUGGGGCAGCAGCUCAACUAUCGGGAGGUGGAUGAGAUCCUCAAGGACGUGGAUCUCAAUGGCGAUGGCCUGGUGGACUUUGAAGAGUUUGUGCGGAUGAUGUCGCGCUGAGGGCGGUGUGUGCCAACGUGGGACCCGAGCCCCCCCGUGCCUUACGAAGAGGAGGGGCCACAGAGGGACCCCCAGCUCCCAGGGGCUGGGGCAGUGCUGGCACAGCGGCACCUGUGCCUGGGGUGAGGCCGGGUGCUGGAGCUGCUCCUAUGCUGAGCUCUGACCCUGGUGGGAGGCACUGGGGACAAAGUUGGGACCCUUCCCGGCCAAGCUUCAACCCUCAUCUCUGCUCUCUCCCUGCAUUAUCCCCCUUCCCACCCAGAUCUCACCCUAAAAGUCACACCAUCGUCGUCCUCCCUCCUUCAGCUGUGCCCCAUCCCUGCUGCUCAUCCCUCCAGCCUUCAUUGCCACUCUGUGUGCUCCCCCUACACCAUGUUUAAUGUGGACUGCACAGCAUAACCCACCCCAUCACCACGGUUUGAGCUCAGACUUACCCCAGACCCGCCUAGGGUGAGGCAUCCCUCUCUUUUCGGGGCUGGCACAGACCCUCGUGGAUGUUCUGGCAGCCCCUGGCACAGGGGAGACUCCAGGCAGCCCAGCCAGGAGAACCUCGAGGAGAGAAAUAAAGCAUUGCUGGGUGGAAGGGCCUCAGCCAGCUGCAGGCAGGGCUGCUGCAGGGUUUAUUCGUGGCAGUGCCGUCCCCAAAACCCUGGACUCCCACUGUGCGUCACGGGAGCCCCGCAGGAGUCGGGACCCCGGACACCGCCUCACCCGUGCGGGCACGGGGCUCCGGGCAAUGCACGGCGGGCGGGUGGGGCCGGUUCCCGGGGCGGGCGGCGGCGAUUCCCGCAAAGUCCGGGCCGGGGUUCACCCCGCAGAGAGUCGGGGCGCCCUGACCGGCGCCGGCCGGGGCUGUGGGGUGACACGAGGUGCA